rnacentral:rRNA from 1 species
GGCCGCGGGAAUUCGAUUCAGGCCUAACACAUGCAAGUCGAGCGAGUGGAUCUCCUUCGGGAGAGAAGCUAGCGGCGGACGGGUGAGUAACACGUGGGCAACCUGCCUCAUAGAGGGGAAUAGCCUCCCGAAAGGGAGAUUAAUACCGCAUAAGAUUGUAGCUUCGCAUGAAGUAGCAAUUAAAGGAGCAAUCCGCUAUGAGAUGGGCCCGCGGCGCAUUAGCUAGUUGGUGAGGUAACGGCUCACCAAGGCGACGAUGCGUAGCCGACCUGAGAGGGUGAUCGGCCGCAUUGGGACUGAGACACGGCCCAGACUCCUACGGGAGGCAGCAGUGGGGAAUAUUGCAAGGUGGGGGAAACC